AGCUGGUCAGCUGUAGACUGCAGGAAGCAGAGGCACUAACUGAACUCAAAGUGCUAAAACAACACAUUAAAGACCUAGAGGAGAAAUGGCAGAACAAAAUUUACAGUAACCAGCUAAAACCAAUUGAAGCACACAUAAACAGCCAGCAAGAUCAUCUACAGGAGCUGACAUCUCAGAACCAAGAUCUGUGCAGCCAGUUACAACAGAGCAGACGGCAGUUUUCAACUGUUCAAUACAAGAUUCAAAGCCUCUCCAAACAUACUAUGUUUUCUCAACCCACAUCGAGGCCUUCCACAUCCACCUCUCUGAAGCACAAUGACACCUAAAAAUGGACAGCUGCCCUAACGUCCCGUCAUCCUGUCUCCAGAAGCACGCCAUUCGGUGAGACACUGAAGAUGUUCUAUUAAGAGCGCUACCCACAGCUGCAGUCUCCACUAUGAGAGAGUCUUCACAGCCCCAGCUUUUAAACAUGCUGCAACACUUUGAGUGUCAUGAGCAGAGACACACUGUGACAGUUUUGCCAUUAACACUUGAAAGUGACAGCAAGAUUUCUCAUUCUUACCAACAAAAAAAAAGUUGUUAAAUGUCUUAGAUCUAACAUUCAAGUAAACAUCACAAAGCACUUAGUACUGUCACGCUGUAAAAGAGGUUUUAGUCAUGGUCAGCCGCAAGUAUCUUAAUGCUGGAUACCUGUACUGAAAAUCCGGCUGAUUGAACAACAGUGAUUUCAGACAAAUUAAUCUCUUUUUGACCCAGUGUCACUGGAAUUUAUAAUGUUUUAGCCUCCAGG
rnacentral:lncRNA from 1 species